AGCUCUUUGCAGAGUUAAAAUAAAGUAUAUAGAGAGCUUCUUCUUCUCUUCUCUUCGUCGCUAAGAGAAGAUCUUCGAAUAAAUAUCUCUGUUGGUUUUUUUGCGUAGUGAAUCUUGGAAUCAUCUCCUCGUUGUGAAGUUGACGGUACCGGAAUCAAUCGAAUCAAAUUACGGAAUUUUUGAAUGGGAUCGAUUUGCGAAUCUGUACCGACGGCGAACUCUUCGACGGCGGUGAUGGGGGGAUCUAUUCCGCCUUUUCUGAGUAAAACCUACGAUAUGGUUGACGAUCCACUGACGGAUGACGUGGUGUCUUGGAGCAGCGGGAACAACAGCUUCGUUGUUUGGAACGUGCCUGAGUUCGCCAAACAGUUUCUUCCCAAGUAUUUCAAGCACAACAAUUUCUCCAGCUUCGUCAGACAGCUUAAUACUUAUGGCUUCAGAAAAGUUGAUCCUGAUCGUUGGGAAUUUGCAAAUGAGGGCUUUUUAAGAGGCCAAAAACAUAUACUAAAGAGUAUUGUCCGGCGAAAACCUGCCCAAGUGCAGCCCCAGCAACAACCUCAAGUUCAGCACUCAUCUGUGGGUGCGUGCGUUGAAGUGGGCAAGUUUGGACUUGAAGAAGAAGUGGACAGACUCCAGCGUGAUAAGAACGUCCUUAUGCAGGAACUUGUAAGAUUAAGGCAGCAGCAACAAGUUACCGAACAUCAUCUGCAAAACGUGGGGCAGAAAGUUCAUGUAAUGGAGCAGAGGCAGCAACAGAUGAUGUCCUUCCUAGCAAAGGCUGUUCAAAGUCCUGGUUUCUUAAACCAAUUCUCCCAGCAGAGUAGUGACGCAAACCAACACAUUUCUGAAAGCAACAAAAAGAGGAGGCUACCUGUUGAGGACCAGAAGAAUUCAGGGAGUCAUGGGGUUAACGGUCUUCUUAGCCGCGAGAUUGUGAGAUAUCAGUCAUCCAUGAACGAUGCAGCAAACACUAUGCUCCAACAGAUACAGCAGAUGAGUAAUUCACCUAGCCAUGAAUCUCUCUCAAACAAUCAUGGCAGCUUUCUUUUGGGCGAUGUUCCAAGUUCAAACAUUUCAGACAAUGGGAGCUCCUCAAAUGGAUCACCUGGAGUUACAUUGGCAGACGUUUCAUCCAAUCCUGCUGCAAGCUUAUAUCCUGCAAUGAAGUAUCACGAACCUUGUGAAACAAAUCAAGUCCUGGAGACCAAUUUGCCUUAUUCUCAAGGUGAUCUCUUAGCUCCAACGCAAGGAGCAGCAGCUUCAGGUAGUUCAAAUUUGGAUUUUGUUGGGUGCGAGAUAGAUAAUGGAGAGUGUUUGGACCCAAUAAUGGCUGUUUUGGAUGGCCCAAUCGAACUAGAAGCUGGUGUUAUAAAUGAGUUACUUCCUGAAGUUCAAGAUUCUUUUUGGGGACAGUUCCUUGGUGAAACCCCUGUGAUUGGUGACACAGAUGAGCUGAUCUCAGGAUCAGUGGACAAUGAACUGAUAAUGGAGCACCUAGAAUUACAACCAAGCCUGAGUAACGGGUGGAGCAGGAACCAACAGAUGAACCAUCUUACUGAACAGAUGGGACUUCUCACAUCAGAUGCUCUCAGAAAAUGAGAGAAAUCACCAUGAAUUCACAAUCUUUCCUUACGAGAUGGGUUAUGAUUUUGUGCGAGUCGCAAUAACAAAAAGAAUAUGAUUAAAAGGAGGUUGUUUACAGAGGAAAUCUAAAUCCAAGUACUAAGUUAUAAGUUUUAGACGAGAAGACCGAGCAAGAUGUGUAGACAGAAAACAGAGGCGAAGGAGCUCAAAUUCGCCCCAUGAAGUAUCUUUACUGAGCUUUCGUUUGAUUAAAACUCGGAGUCUCUGUAUCCAAGCAAAUUGAUAUGCGUGGAAACAUAUUUAUUUGUAUAUAUUUCGUUACCGAAGAUUCAGAAAAAGGUGAUGGAGGUGGAGAUGACGAACAUAGGAGUGAAGGUAAAACCGUCGCAUACUUUCACAUACAUGCUCAAGAUGCGCGGGCUUUGGAUAUUGGCGACGGACAAGACCUCUACCGCGUUUGCGUUUGGCCUGAGCAUGGGGAGCUCCCACCGCAAGUGACAGCGUGGGUCGGAACAGAGGUUGGCCAUCCUGGCGUUCCUAUUACAUUUGAGCACACACUCACGUUUAAGCACUAAUCUCCUCUCUCAAAGUUCAUUCUUCGUCUUGAGCAGUGCUGUGCUUAGGUUCAUAUUGGGGCGAAAAAAAGAUAGUUUUGUAAAAAAAA